AUAUAACUAGUUUUACUCAGGGUUGUACUGCAACAGUGCUUCUGGUAUGGACUGAUGGUGCUGAAAAUUUCUUUGCACAAUGUGCAAAUGUGGGGGACUCAGCAUGUGUUAUGAACAGUGCCAAUGGGAAACCGAUUAAGAUGACUGAGGACCAUAGAGUAGUUAGUCAUACUGAAAGACUGAGAAUGGAAGAAAGAGGAGAGCCACUGAGAGAUGGGGAAACACGAUUAUGCGGCUUGAAUCUUGCUCGGAUGCUUGGAGACAAGUUUCUUAAAGAGCAAGAUGCUCGGUU